CCUCCUUUCUAAGGAUGUUGUAGGUGGACACUCAUCACCAUCCAUGAAUUCCUUUCGAUAAAUUUAUGUACAGGCGCGUAGCUCAGUUGGUUAGAGCGCACGACUGAUAAUCGUGAGGUCGGCAGUUCAAAUCUGCCCGUGCCUACCAAAUCGCACUGAGCUUCGCGGUUAACAUAUUUUAUUGAAAUGAAUUACCAGGAAUACUGGUAGCUGUUUGACAAAGUUAGUGAAAAGAUCUCAAGAACAUUGGCAUAUGAUGCUUGACCGCAAUCAUAUGCUAUGCUUUCGUUCCGUAUUGUAAUUGUAAUUUAGUUAUUAAUUGCUAUUUUCGUAUACGGUUCGAUCAAGCGUCAAAAAGGGCAUUUGGUGGAUGCCUUGGCGUUGAGAGGCGAUGAAGGACGUAAUACGCUGCGAUAAGCUGUGGGGAGGCGCGAAUAGCCUUUUGAUCCGCAGAUUUCCGAAUGGGGAAACCCAAGGGCG
rnacentral:misc_RNA from 1 species